UAUUCUGGUUUAUUUGUUAGUUUUGUAUGCCUGUCCUAGUUAGGACAGCUGAGACCAGUUCAUCACUGGAUGGGUGUAACCCAAAACUGUGUAUUCUAUAGCCUUCCAUGCCAUUUCCCAGAAACUGUUAUCAGUAGACUAUUUACACCCUCUGCUCAGAGCAGCCUGACUCCUCAGGCUACAGAGUAGGUGUUAAGAGGCCUGCGAUAUAGAAGGGUGCCUCCCUGUCCCUCACACCCUUUGUGAAACUCUCCCGCCUUGAGGAAAGUACUGAGCAUUCCUGCCUGAACUGGAGAAUAUAUAAUCUUGGAGUCUUGGAACUUUUUUAACCACUCGUGGGAUCC